AUCUAGGGCCAUAGCACCAUGAAGGCCCCUGGUAAUUUCUGAGCUCAGAAGCUAAAGCAAGGUUGAGCCUGAUUAGUACUUGGUUGCAAGACCAGCUGGAAAGACCAGGUGCUGUGGACU
ensembl:rRNA 5S_rRNA 5S ribosomal RNA